GAAGCCGGCCUGGCAUCACCGCUAACCAGUUUCCCACCCCAGAAACUGGUUGAGGGUGUAGUUUUCAACCACCCCAGAGUGGGGGCCACCCUCCCCUCCCUCACGGACACAGGAGCCCUGACACCACAGACUGAGAGAACGGGCUUAUAAAGUCCAAGGACAUAGAGAAAUCAGCCUCAACUGAACACAACACCCCCUGCCUGAGAUGUGCUGUGCAGGCUACUGGAACACCAAAGAUAUUAAUGGUCUCAUCCAACACUGGACCCUGCAAGCUACAAUACAACCUACCUGGGAUGCGGCGGGACACUGAGGCCUCAUCCUUGGCGGAGGAGCCAUCGCUUACUGGUUGCUGAAGGAGGAACACUUGGGG